rnacentral:rRNA from 1 species
GACGAACGCUGGCGGCGUGCCUAAUACAUGCAAGUAGAACGCUGAAGGAGGAGCUUGCUCUUCUGGAUGAGUUGCGAACGGGUGAGUAACGCGUAGGUAACCUGCCUGGUAGCGGGGGAUAACUAUUGGAAACGAUAGCUAAUACCGCAUAACAGUAGAUGUUGCAUGACAUUUGCUUAAAAGGUGCAAUUGCAUCACUACCAGAUGGACCUGCGUUGUAUUAGCUAGUUGGUGGGGUAACGGCUCACCAAGGCGACGAUACAUAGCCGACCUGAGAGGGUGAUCGGCCACACUGGGACUGAGACACGGCCCAGACUCCUACGGGAGGCAGCAGUAGGGAAUCUUCGGCAAUGGACGAAAGUCUGACCGAGCAACGCCGCGUGAGUGAAGAAGGUUUUCGGAUCGUAAAGCUCUGUUGUAAGAGAAGAACGAGUGUGAGAGUGGAAAGUUCACACUGUGACGGUAUCUUACCAGAAAGGGACGGCUAACUACGUG